GGAAAAAGCAUAUGGAAGCUGGCACUUACCAUGUUGUACCAGGGCUACAGGUCACAUAUUUGACUAUCCCAGUUCAACGUCUUUCAUUAGCACCCAACAACAGACUACGCAUGGCAUCUCAGCAUCACAGUCAUUGUCAUGCAAAUAAACACAAAAUGCUAACUGUUAUGGUGUGGUAGGUAGCUAGGUCUGUAUGUACUCACUGCUCAUUAAGAAAGAUUCAGAUCCACUUAACUGCCACUUCUUCUAGAGGCAAGUCUGACGUUUUGGAAAAAGUUGGGCCUUGAUCCUGUACACACAAACACACAUUCCCCUUGCAACGUGGAUGUAGUUCUAUUGAAGUCAACAGGACUACUCACGGAUCUAAAGUUAAGACUAUAAAACAAUUGCCAGACCUGGACCUCAGAGAGUUGGACAAUGAUUCAGCAAAGCACUUCAGUCUGUGCUUAAGGCUAUCUCUAUUUAGCAAAGCAUUUAAGUACAUGCAUAACUGAGUGCUUUGCUGAACUGGGGCCAUAAUCCCUUCUCAUAACCAAGGUCGAUGAAUAGCAUGCCAAACUAAAGCUAUUUAUUGAGGGAAAGCAGCAACAGAGAUCUCAGGACUCCAGCUAGUGAAGACAGGACUCGGCCUUGAUGACAGCAACUUCUGCCUUCUGUAUUUCAUGGGGGAGUAGGGCUAAACAGUCAAUGUUUGCCCCAGACAUUUUGGAAAAUGGAUGUUGCUUGGAACUGCAAGUGCCCUUUGAUGAGAAAGCUUCUCCGUCCUUUUCUUUUUAUGCCAGAACACACUGUGAAUGAAGAAAAAGAAUCUCCAGGGGCUAAAGGGAAAGACCACUGUUUCCCCUCAAUUGCAGCCAAGCUUUUAAAAUUAAAGCUCUGACUGUGUGCAAGUCAGAAGGCAUUUAAAAAAAGCAAACAACUGAUGAGAAUGUUUCUAGGAAGUCAUGCAGGUACAGCAUGGUGUUAGAUAUCCAAACAACCACCAAGGGACAUUCAGACAUUCAGUUCAUUAGAUGAAAGAGAGGUCAACACACUAACAUGACAAACUGCAGAAGGCUUUCUGUUGUAAGUAGCCACUCUAUCUUGUUGAUGCCCUAUCAAGAUCUCCUAAGCUAAGUAACACUGAACUGAGCAAGCAGUUAGAUAGAGAACAUCUUGGUGCAGGCAGUGAUACUGGUGGUUCAGUAAGCAACACUUCUCUCUGAGCCAGUGCUUCCUCAAAGAGCUUUUGAAGAGGGUUUUGUUGUUUUGUUUUUGGGGGAUGGGUUUCAUUUUGGACUACAGCAGGGGUGUUCAACCCCUGGUACAUAGGCCAGACCUGGCUGCCAGGGCUAUCCAUGGACCUGAAAAUUUAACAGGAGGGAAUGAUGGCAGCAUUAUGUGCUGCUCCCCUAUUACCAAAUAUCCAGACCUGGGGGGAAGAGAGGAAAGACUGUGGGGUUGGGGGGCUUGAACCCAACCCAGGUAUGCAGGCCAGACAGAAGCAGUGCAGUUACUGAUUAAGGCACAUGGGGCUGGAGUGGUGCAGGGCCUGAUCCUGGCAUGUGGGGUUGGGCAGAGGUAGCACAAGGCACAAUCCAGGGCCAGGCAGAGGCAGCGUGGGGCCUGCUUCUGAUACAUGGGGAUCCAGCCAGACAGUAGACUGGC